ACGCGUGGAACCUUACCAGGUCUUGACAUCCUUCGCUACUUCUAGAGAUAGAAGGUUCCCCUUCGGGGGACGAAGUGACAGGUGGUGCAUGGUUGUCGUCAGCUCGUGUCGUGAGAUGUUGGGUUAAGUCCCGCAACGAGCGCAACCCUUGAUCUUAGUUGCCAGCAUUAAGUUGGGCACUCUAAGGUGACUGCCGGUGACAAACCGGAGGAAGGUGGGGAUGACGUCAAAUCAUCAUGCCCCUUAUGACCUGGGCUACACACGUGCUACAAUGGAUGGUACAAAGGGCAGCAAAACCGCGAGGUCGAGCAAAUCCCAUAAAACCAUUCUCAGUUCGGAUUGUAGGCUGCAACUCGCCUACAUGAAGCUGGAAUCGCUAGUAAUCGCGGAUCAGCAUGCCGCGGUGAAUACGUUCCCGGGCCUUGCACUCACCGCCCGU
rnacentral:rRNA from 1 species